UAGCUCAAUGGUAGAGCAUUUGCCUAGCAUGCAUUAGGCCCUGGGUUCAAUCCUCAG
rnacentral:tRNA from 1 species